CGUUCGGUUGUACUAAAAUACACUCUUAAGCAGUCAGCUGUUUUUGCACCUGGCGAACCAAGCAGGCUCGCGGCUUUCGGCUCCCAAAAAACACGUAUU